CGGGAAACUGGGGAUAAUACCCGAUAGAUCUCGGCUGCUGGAAUGCACCGAGUUCUAAAGCUCCGGCGCUCAAGGAUGGAUCUGCGGCCUAUCAGGUAGUAGUGGGUGUAGCGUACCUACUAGCCUACGACGGGUACGGGUUGUGAGAGCAAGAGCCCGGAGAUGGAUUCUGAGACACGAAUCCAGGCCCUACGGGGUGCAGCAGGCGCGAAAACUUUACAAUGCUGGAAACAGCGAUAAGGGGACCUCGAGUGCCAGGUUACAAAUCUGGCUGUCGUGAUGCCUAAAAAGCAUUGCAUAGCAAGGGCCGGACAAAACCGGUGCCCGCCACCGCGUAAUA
rnacentral:rRNA from 1 species